GGCUCCUUUAAAGACCUAUGAUCCUGCACACUUAAAUAACACAAGUUAUGAAAACACUACAAAUCAAAGUUUCAGCUUGUUUAAUGAUUAAUUGAUGCAUCACGAUAAAAGAAUGUAAAAACUGCCCCAUUAACGUAUUAUCAAGCAUGAACCUUGCCUCAAGACUUCAACUUAAAAUUUAGCACUUGGUGCAGUAAAGCAGUAAGAAAGUAGAAAUAUUCAAACUUAGUAAAAAUACAGAAAGAGGUUCAAAAUGUGCCCAUUAAAAUUUGUUCACGCACACAAAAGAAUAUUAAACGAAGAAUCCGACUUCAACCCCAAAUAGCAUACCAAGUACUGUAACUGAAAGUUUG
rnacentral:misc_RNA from 1 species